GAAAAUAGAAGUCCGGCCCAAAGUUGUAAUACUACGCCUCGCAAUGUGAGGGCGCGCUUGAAAAAAGAAGGCUCAUCUUCAAACUUGACUGUGUCAAAAAUGUUGGGAGAAUCUGCAGUGGAAGGAGCAGCCUUGAGACAGAAGCUGCUCCUUUACGGGGUUCCCGUUGCAUCCAGUAGAUCCAGACCUACCUUCUGCCCACAGUCCCAGCGUGAGCUCCGUGCCCAAGGGAUUCACCUUGGUGAGCAGGGAGGAAACGCGAGGGGUUGCGUGAGAUCAGCCUCCUCCUCCUCCUCGCUGGCGUCUCACCAGCGAGCCCGGGCUCUGCUUCCAAAAGGGGCCGGGCUGGCAGUCGCAGAUCCGGCCGAGAAGGUCGAGGCCGGGCCCUUAAUUGGCCUGAGGCGCCCUCUGCUGGACAUCGCUCGGACGCUCAGCCACGCAGCUCAUUUCCGCAAGCGGCCGGCCAGCUGGUGACUCUUCCCUAGGAGAGAACCGGGAAAACAACGCGCGUGGCCUGAGGCCUCUUUUGCAGCACUGCCAUGAGAAAAGAACAUGAACAAGCCCAAAACUACAGGGGGAUGCACAGGGAAAAGAAGCAAUGAGGCUGCAUUUCUCAGCAAUGCUUGCUAUUGUAGGUGAAUUCAGGAAAGGAGCUGCUGCCAAUCUGCAUCUUGAAGGUAUAUUUCAAUAUGGCAGCCGAUUUAGAACGAACCAGCCAAAAGAGGUGGCUCUCUUGAGGGAAGGUUCUUAAUUACCAAGAAAGUCCCCACAUUGCCACUUCAAGUUUUGUGUAAGGCUUUGCAUUUCAGACAAAAAUGAUGUGCUCUGUUUUGGAAAGGAAGCUCCAACCGUUGCAAGCCUUGGCAGGUUUUCUGAGUGAGAUAAGGAAUACCCAGGCCUCUGUUACUCAAUCAGCUCAGCAAAAACAAAUAUUUUAGCCAGACCUCUCAGUUCUUCGGACAUAAAACAUCUCCUUGCAUCCUGGAAGCUUUAUGAGUAGAUGAUAAAAUCUCAGUCAAAAUCCACCCACGCUGGUUCUUCUCCCCCCUCAAAUGCUUGAAGCUGCCUCUCCAUGGUAAUCCCCUGGCUUUCGCUGCUUCCCAGAACACCACCACAGCCACAUUGCCAACAGCGCAGUGGAAAACGGAGAAAGAUAAUGAGAAAGGUUGAUUUACCAUUUC